rnacentral:siRNA from 1 species
GCGGUCUCAUUGCAAUGGUUCAGG